GAUGAAGAACGCAGCGAAAUGCGAUAAGUAGUGUGAAUUGCAGAAUUCAGUGAAUCAUCGAAUCUUUGAACGCACAUUGCGCCCCUUAGUAUUCCAUGGGGCAUGCCUGUUCGAGCGUCAUUUGUACCUUCAAGCUUUGCUUGGUGUUGGGUGUUUGUUCUGAGGGACUCGCCUUAAAGUAAUUGGCAGCCAGUGUUUUGGUUUUGAAGCGCAGCACAAGUCGCGAUUCAAGGCUAUACGCCAGCUUCCACAAGCCUUUUUCACUUUUGACCUCGGAUCAGGUAGGGAUACCCGCUGAACUUAAGCAUAUCAAUAAGCGGAGGA
rnacentral:misc_RNA from 1 species